rnacentral:rRNA from 1 species
NUCUAACGAGAGUUUGAUCCUGGCUCAGGACGAACGCUGGCGGCGUGCCUAAUACAUGCAAGUCGAACGAACGGAUAAAGAGCUUGCUCUUUUGAAGUUAGUGGCGGACGGGUGAGUAACACGUGGGUAACCNGCCUCACAGCUGGGGAUAACAUCGAGAAAUCGAUGCUAAUACCGNAAUGUGCUGAACAUCAUAAGAUGUUCAAGUGAAAGACGGUUUCGGCUGUCACUGUGAGAUGGACCCGCGCUGGAUUAGCUAGUUGGUAAGGUAAUGGCUUACCAAGGCGACGAUCCAUAGCCGACCUGAGAGGGUGAUCGGCCACAUUGGGACUGAGACACGGCCCAAACUCCUACGGGAGGCAGCAGUAGGGAAUCUUCGGCAAUGGACGAAAGUCUGACCGAGCAACGCCGCGUGAGCGAAGAAGGCCUUCGGGUCGUAAAGCUCUGUUGUUAGAGAAGAACAUGGGUGAGAGUAACUGUUCACCNCUUGACGGUAUCUAACCAGAAAGCCACGGCUAACUACGUGCCAGCAGCCGCGGUAAUACGUAGGUGGCNAGCGUUGUCCGGAAUUAUUGGGCGUAAAGCGCGCGCAGGCGGUCUCUUAAGUCUGAUGUGAAAGCCCCCGGCUCAACCGGGNNGGGUCAUUGGAAACUGGGAGACUUGAGGACAGAAGAGGAGAGUGGAAUUCCAAGUGUAGCGGUGAAAUGCGUAGAUAUUUGGAGGAACACCAGUGGCGAAGGCGGCUCUCUGGUCUGUUACUGACGCUGAGGCGCNAAAGCGUGGGGAGCAAACAGGAUUAGAUACCCUGGUAGUCCACGCCGUAAACGAUGAGUGCUAAGUGUUAGGGGGUUUCCGCCCCUUAGUGCUGCAGUUAACGCAUUAAGCACUCCGCCUGGGGAGUACGACCGCAAGGUUGAAACUCAAAGGAAUUGACGGGGGCCNGCACAAGCGGUGGAGCAUGUGGUUUAAUUCGAAGNAACGCGAAGAACCUUACCAGGUCUUGACAUCCUUUGACCAUUCUGGAGACAGAACUUUCCCUUCGGGGACAAAGUGACAGGUGGNGCAUGGUUGUCGUCAGCUCGUGUCGUGAGAUGUUGGGUUAAGUCCCGCAACGAGCGCAACCCUUGAUUUUAGUUGCCAGCAUUUAGUUGGGCACUCUAAAGUGACUGCCGGUGUAAGCCGGAGGAAGGUGGGGAUGACGUCAAAUCAUCAUGCCCCUUAUGACCUGGGCUACACACGUGCUACAAUGGAUAAUACAAAGGGUCGCGAAGCCGCGAGGUGGAGCCAAUCCCAUAAAAUUAUUCUCAGUUCGGAUUGCAGGCUGCAACUCGCCUGCAUGAAGCCGGAAUCGCUAGUAAUCGUAGAUCAGCAUGCUACGGUGAAUACGUUCCCGGNCCUUGUACACACCGCCCGUCACACCACGAGAGUUUGUAACACCCAAAGCCGGUUUGGUAACCUUCGGGAGCUAGCCGUCUAAGGUGGGAUAGACNACNNGGGNNNNNNNGUAACAAGNNNNNNNNNNNNNNNNNNNNNNNNNGAUCACCUCCUUUCU